AGAGUUUGAUCAUGGCUCAGAACGAACGCUGGCGGCGCGCCUAACACAUGCAAGUCGAACGAGAAGGCGUAGCAAUACGCUUGUACAGUGGCGAACGGGUGAGGAACACGUGGGUAACCUACCCUCGAGUGGGGAAUAACCAACCGAAAGGUUGGCUAAUGCCGCGUAAGCUUCCAUCUCUUCGGAGGUGGAAGGAAAGCUGUACCGUGGGUACAGCGCUCAAGGAUGGGCUCACGUCCUAUCAGCUUGUUGGUAGGGUAACGGCCUACCAAGGCAACGACGGGUAGCUGGUCUGAGAGGACGAUCAGCCACACUGGCACUGCGACACGGGCCAGACUCCUACGGGAGGCAGCAGUGAGGAAUAUUGCGCAAUGGGCGAAAGCCUGACGCAGCGACGCCGCGUGGGGGAUGAAGGUCUUCGGAUUGUAAACCCCUUUCGGGAGGGAAGAUGGGACGGGCAACCGUUCGGACGGUACCUCCAGAAGCAGCCACGGCUAACUUCGUGCCAGCAGCCGCGGUAAUACGAAGGUGGCAAGCGUUAUUCGGAUUUACUGGGCGUAAAGGGAGCGUAGGCGGUCUGGUAAGCCCUCCGGGAAAUCUCCCGGCCUAACCGGGAAAGGUCGGAGGGGACUGCUUGACUAGAGGGCGGGAGAGGAGCGCGGAAUUCCCGGUGUAGCGGUGAAAUGCGUAGAGAUCGGGAGGAAGGCCGGUGGCGAAGGCGGCGCUCUGGAACGAUCCUGACGCUGAGGCUCGAAAGCGUGGGGAGCAAACAGGAUUAGAUACCCUGGUAGUCCACGCCCUAAACGAU
rnacentral:rRNA from 1 species